UCUGAACCCCGGCGGGGCCUGUGUGCUCAGAUCUUCCCACAGCGUACCCCUGAAGCCCAGCUCAGGCAGCCUGAGGAUUAGAAUAAAUGAAAAUCAUUAUCUGAGCUGUUUGGCACACGUGCGUGUGCAAGAGCCAGGGGCCAUUUUCAAGGGAAAAUGCCCGUUGCAGUUUCCUAAAUCCUUUCUCAUUUUUGACUUAUUUGAUCCUGGCAACAACUUGGUGAGAUUGGUUUAUCCGUGAGUCCAUUUCACAGGCAGGAAAGUGGUGUCGCAGGGAGGCCGAGUGACUUGUCCACAGCCACGCAGCUGGGAAACGGGGAGACAGAUUCAGAUCCGAACUCCACAGAAACCAUUGUGUCUGCCGUUGCCAUGGCAAUGGGGAUGUGGCAGGAGCGCCAGGCUCUCAGGCUUUCCAGGGCCCGUGGAGGCCGGCAAGGGCGGUCGAUUUCUCCCAGGAGCCCCUGACUCACGCCCACCUUCAGAGGCCCCCGGGAGUGAAGAAGACAGCCUUCCCACCCGUUUCCAGCAGGGCUGGCUGCAUCCAGGAAGACAGCGCUGCUGGUGAGUGGUUCGGCUUUGUUUCAGACCACUCAAAGAAAUCAUCUAGAACAACGUCCGCAAGACUGGCGGUGCAACUGUCCCCCUUGGAACCUCUCGGGAACACAGCCUCUGUCUCCUCACCGCAGAGCAGCUGCGUCAGACUCCCAGACGGCGGGGCCUAGGGAUCUGUGUUUUGGUUUUGGGAUCUGUGCAAAUCCACAUGACUCAAUAAUCCAAACAUACAGAGAGCCUGGGAACCCUUACCCCGCUCUGGCGCCCUAUGUGUCCGCUUUCAUUGGCUUCUUGUAUUUCCGGCUUGUUUUCUUUAGGGAGGCAGCAAAUACAAGAUACGGUCCACUUUUAUCUUUCCCCGCUCAGAAAAUAAAGAUACCACAGCC
rnacentral:lncRNA from 1 species